rnacentral:rRNA from 1 species
GUCGAGCGAACGGACGAGAAGCUUGCUUCUCUGAUGUUAGCGGCGGACGGGUGAGUAACACGUGGAUAACCUACCUAUAAGACUGGGAUAACUUCGGGAAACCGGAGCUAAUACCGGAUAAUAUUUUGAACCGCAUGGUUCAAAAGUAAAAGACGGUCUUGCUGUCACUUAUAGAUGGAUCCGCGCUGCAUUAGCUAGUUGGUAAGGUAACGGCUUACCAAGGCAACGAUGCAUAGCCGACCUGAGAGGGUGAUCGGCCACACUGGAACUGAGACACGGUCCAGACUCCUACGGGAGGCAGCAGUAGGGAAUCUUCCGCAAUGGGCGAAAGCCUGACGGAGCAACGCCGCGUGAGUGAUGAAGGUCUUCGGAUCGUAAAACUCUGUUAUUAGGGAAGAACAUAUGUGUAAGUAACUGUGCACAUCUUGACGGUACCUAAUCAGAAAGCCACGGCUAACUACGUGCCAGCAGCCGCGGUAAUACGUAGGUGGCAAGCGUUAUCCGGAAUUAUUGGGCGUAAAGCGCGCGUAGGCGGUUUUUUAAGUCUGAUGUGAAAGCCCACGGCUCAACCGUGGAGGGUCAUUGGAAACUGGAAAACUUGAGUGCAGAAGAGGAAAGUGGAAUUCCAUGUGUAGCGGUGAAAUGCGCAGAGAUAUGGAGGAACACCAGUGGCGAAGGCGACUUUCUGGUCUGUAACUGACGCUGAUGUGCGAAAGCGUG